UACAGAGACUGCAAGCGUUAUUCGGAUUCACUGGGCGUAAAGGGCGCGUAGGCGGCCAGCACAAGUCAGUUGUGAAAUCUCCGAGCUUAACUCGGAAAGGUCAACUGAUACUGUGCGGCUAGAGUGCGGAAGGGGCAACUGGAAUUCUUGGUGUAGCGGUGAAAUGCGUAGAUAUCAAGAGGAACACCGGUGGCGAAGGCGGCGACCUGGGUAGAUACUGACGCUGAGGUGCGAAAGCGUGGGGAGCAAACAGG
rnacentral:rRNA from 1 species